ensembl:lncRNA
CAGUUCGGCAGCUGUUGAGCCUGAGCCUACAAUUUCCACCAGAGCUGCUGAUUUUCUGGCUACUGUUCUGCCAGAGCUAACUAGGUCAAACCACCCUGCUGACUGUCUGGACUCUGUUCAGCCUGAGACAUCUAUGUCCACACACCCUGCUGAUAAUAUGGCUACUGAUGAGCUUGAGCCUACAAUUUCAACCAACGCUGCUUACUCUCUGGCUGCUCUUGAGCCUAAGUCGACUAAAUCCUCCAAUUCUGCUGACUGUCUGGCCUAUGUUGAGCCAGAGCCAGCUAUGUCCACCCACCGUGCCGACACUCUGGCUGCUCUUGAGCAUGAGCUGUCUCAUGACAACAAAGAUGCUGGCUGUCUGGCUUCUCUCAAGGCUGAGCUGAUUAAUUCCACCAAUGCUACUGAUUGUCUGCCUUCUGUUGGGAC